rnacentral:rRNA from 1 species
GUNNCNNCGCGUCUUAUACAUGAAAGUCGAACGGAGCGUACCGAGNCGAACCUUUCGGGGGGAGACAUGGUAUUGCAAGAGGCGAACGGGUGAGUAACACGUGAGUAACCUACCUCCGAGCGGGGGACAACAUUUGGAAACAGAUGCUAAUACCGCAUAAGACCACGAAGCCGCAUGGCUUUGAGGCCAAAGCAUUUAUGCACUUGGAGAUGGACUCGCGUCUGAUUAGCUAGAUGGUGAGGUAAUGGCCCACCAUGGCGACGAUCAGUAGCCGGACUGAGAGAUUGAACGGCCACAUUGGGACUGAGACACGGCCCAGACUCCUACGGGAGGCAGCAGUGGGGAAUAUUGCACAGUGGGCGAAAGCCUGAUGCAGCGACGCCGCGUGAGGGAAGAAGGUUUUCGGAUUGUAAACCUCUGUCUUCGGGGACGAAACAAAUGACGGUACCCGAGGAGGAAGCCACGGCUAACUACGUGCCAGCAGCCGCGGUAAAACGUAGGUGGCAAGCGUUGUCCGGAAUUACUGGGUGUAAAGGGAGCGCAGGCGGGAUGGCAAGUUGAAUGUGAAAACUAUGGGCUCAACCCAUAGACUGCGUUCAAAACUGCUGUUCUUGAGUGAUGGAGAGGCAGGCGGAAUUCCCGGUGUAGCGGUGGAAUGCGUAGAUAUCGGGAGGAACACCAGUGGCGAAGGCGGCCUGCUGGACAUUAACUGACGCUGAGGCUCGAAAGUGUGGGGAGCAAACAGGAUUAGAUACCCUGGUAGUCCACACUGUAAACGAUGAUUACUAGGUGUGGGGGGAUAGACCCCCUCCGUGCCGCAGCUAACGCAAUAAGUAAUCCACCUGGGGAGUACGGUCGCAAGACUGAAACUCAAAGGAAUUGACGGGGCCCGCACAAGCAGUGGAGUAUGUGGUUUAAUUCGACGCAACGCGAAGAACCUU